AUUGAACGCUGGCGGCAGGCCUAACACAUGCAAGUCGAGCGGAUGAAGGGAGCUUGCUCCUGGAUUCAGCGGCGGACGGGUGAGUAAUGCCUAGGAAUCUGCCUGGUAGUGGGGGAUAACGUCCGGAAACGGGCGCUAAUACCGCAUACGUCCUGAUGGGGAAAGUGGGGGAUCUUCGGACCUCACGCUAUCAGAUGAGCCUAGGUCGGAUUAGCUAGUUGGUGGGGUAAAGGCCUACCAAGGCGACGAUCCGUAACUGGUCUGAGAGGAUGAUCAGUCACACUGGAACUGAGACACGGUCCAGACUCCUACGGGAGGCAGCAGUGGGGAAUAUUGGACAAUGGGCGAAAGCCUGAUCCAGCCAUGCCGCGUGUGUGAAGAAGGUCUUCGGAUUGUAAAGCACUUUAAGUUGGGAGGAAGGGCAGUAAGUUAAUACCUUGCUGUUUUGACGUUACCAACAGAAUAAGCACCGGCUAACUUCGUG
rnacentral:rRNA from 1 species